CGUAGGGUGCUAGCGUUGUUCGGAAUCAUUGGGCGUAAAGCGCGUGCAGGCUGUUAGAUAAGUCGGAUGUGAAAUCCCUGGGCUCAACCGAGGAAGUGCAUUCGAAACUAUCUAGCUGGAAGAUGGUAGAGGAAGGUGGAAUUCCAAGUGUAGAGGUGAAAUUCGUAGAUAUUUGGAGGAAUACCGGUGGCGAAGGCGGCCUUCUGGACCAUUCUUGACGCUGAGACGCGAAAGCGUGGGUAGCAAACAGGAUUAGAUACCCUGGUAGUCCACGCCCUAAACGAUGGGUACUAGGUGUUGCAGGAAUUGACCCCUGCAGUGCCGCAGCUAACGCAUUAAGUACCCCGCCUGGGAAGUACGGCCGCAAGGUUA
rnacentral:rRNA from 1 species